rnacentral:lncRNA from 1 species
GUUACAGCAGGAAGUUGAUAUUAAGUUCAAGGCAGCGUUUAGCAUUUCACUGUAUAAGCUCAUUGUAAGUUCAAGGCAACAUUUCACUGUAUAAGCUCAUUGUAAGUUCAAGGCAACAGUUCACUGUAUAAGCUCAUUGUAAGUUCAAGGCAACAGUUCACUGUAUAAGCUCAUUGUAAGUUCAAGGCAACAGUUGCAUAUGGCUGUGCUUUAUCAUGCUGCACACCUCUGGCCUCAUCCUUGGACCUUACCUAGAAUGCUUUUCCUUGAUCACUAACUUGUUUUAAGUCUAUUUUCUUCCUAGUGCAACUUAUGUGUUUGUGAUAGAGAACUCUAUUUUCAGCUUUUUAUUCUACAGGGGUAUUAACAUUACUUGAAUCAAUUCAGGAGUUCUAUAAAAUCAUUAUCAGAAAUUAUGACAUCAAUUUAUCUAAACAUCACUAUUACAUGAAAGUACACGUCCAUAUUGGUCUGCAGGAAAUUUGCCCUGUAUGGUGGGCUGAUGCCCAGGAAUCAUUAGGCUAUGUAAUAGUGGCAGGAAAGGCACAUCAGCAGGAAGAAGCAAUCCUGGGAUGAAGUCUCUGGGGUUCAUGCCACUCAGAGUGCACCCAUCACAGCCAUGCAAAGGGGUGGCCCAUCUCCAGAGAAUACACUUGCCUGCCAUAGCCUUCCCUACAUGGCUUGUGCCAAACCUGGAACUCAGCUGAGCCUAUGGAGGACAUUUUUCAUUCAAACCACCACAAAUGGUCCAUAUGGAUAAAUUAAUUGCAGUAUUCUCUCUCAAGCAAAUUGGCCACACUACACAGACAUUAGACGUUGGCUUGUAGCUAGCUGUUACAAGUUAUGAGGUGAGACAGAAUGUGUUUCUUCCAAGUAGAAGAGAUAAGAGCUUUGGAGGGUUUCCACAGGUACCCUUUGUCCAUCCAUUUAACAGUGUCUCAAAUUACACUAAUACUUCAGUAACUAUGAGAAUUUAAAUGGUGGUACAAUUUUCAGAGAAGAUGGGAGCUAAAUAAUGUAUCCUCAGAUUUGUUGUGCUAAAAGAUAAUCUGAACUCCCAUGCCCACAUCCCAAAUCACUACACAAGACAUGGUAUGCAUUUUACUUAGGGAUUAGUUUGUCAGGCCCUUGUACAGAUAACAUUUUUUUUAUCUCUUUCCAGAUUCAUCUCCGUGCUUUGAACUUGUGUGGAAAUUAGUCCUUUUGGAACCGUAAAGAUCGAGAUACCAAGUUAAUGGCCACUCGUGAAGCUCCAGAAGAACAUCAAAGAAUUCAAUGAUGCAGACCACUUUAUGGAAGUCAAAGGCAUUGCUCCAUCCAACUUCCAUGCUAUAACUUGCUAGCUUCUGCUAUGACCUUAAAUUACAGUGACUUCAAGGAGUCCUGUAGAGCUGCUUUCUGGACAACAGAAAGGAAAACAAACCUGUAGAGCCACAUUGUGCUUAAGAAAUUGUUCUGUGCUCCUGAGUUAUGGCAUAUACUAUGUCAUUCUUUCUAUAACUUUAACAUUUUCCUAUCACAGAUGAAAUACUGGCUUCAGACGACUUCUGCUUCAGCACCUGCCACAAACUUCCGCAAAGGUAAAGAGAAGAGAAUCAAAUCGCAUUAUAUGCUGGAGAUGCAGGACAAGUAAACACAGCAAACAUGUUGAGCAGAUCAAGUCUCAUACAGGUGCAUACCCUUAUGUAUUUGCUAUUGAUAUGCUUCCUGCCAAUCAAGAUAUCAAAGCUUGAAACUUCUCCCCCUAGCUACAACACAGAAGCUGACGUCCUUGUCUGUGCCACUGAGCUAGGAGAUUAACUCCAACUUCUAAUACGGUGUAUCUGAAACUGGAUUCAGAUUUGAACACCUCUUCAAGAGGUAGUCACUGAUCCUUGAGUUCAAAUGUGAGCUCUCAGUUCUGCUCCAGCCACCACGUCUUUGUUGCACCAUCAUGGACCCUGAUUCUCUGGAUCUGUAAGCUAUAAACAAGCCCCUCCUUUUACAAGUUAUUUUGGUUAUAGUUUAAUCACAGCAGUAGAAAAUACAUUAUCCAUGUGAGUAGGUUUUCUGAAUGCCCCAGUGUCUCCCGCCUCUGGGCACAGCCUCUUGGGGAGGCAGAACGCAGAGAGAACCUGGGUGGGUGCUAGGCUGUAGGGAAGCACUAGGCUCUAGGGAUGGGAAAGCAGAGUCUGAGGUGUGGGAAUGCUGGAGAUGGUUCGGGAGUCCCGGGCCUGCAACGAUGCUGGGGCCAUGGGGUUCUCAGGCUCUUGGACAUCCAGGUGCUGCUGGGAUUUGCAGAAGAGCAGAGAAUGGAGUGGGGAGAGGGGCCAUGGGCUGGGGACAGCGGCUAGCCCAGGGCCAGGGGAAAGGGGAGCUCUGGCUUGUCCCAUGGGUGAUUGUCCUUAGCUUGGUGGGGGCAGGCUAGGUGGAAGUCGUGGCUGGGAGCGCAGAGAGGUCUUCUAUGGGAGAAUUAAGCUGCAUCUCUGCUGUCAGUGUCUUCUCUGAGGCUCCCCUUGGUGGAUCUUGGUGAAGAGACACUCCACGGUUUAUUGUCAGUUUAUUGUCAUGGCAGUUUAUUGUCAUGGCAGAAUAUGGGUACGUAAAACCAUACCCCACUUCUCAGGGUGGGCCUGAGAUUAAAUGCCUUUUGCAGGAAGGAAUGUCUGGGAAGGGAAGCUUAUUGGCUAAGCCCUUCGGGUCUCUAGGUACCUCAUUAGCAUAGAGAACUCUAUUUGGGCCUACAUGACCAAUGAACACAUUUCUUUAAGUGAGGAGUGUGGCAUGUGUUCUAGGCCAGGAGUCUGGCAGGGAGCUGGGAGUCGCCUAAGUCUCCUGUGUGUGCCCACUGAGUCUCUGGGUCUCAACCCGCUCUACCUUACCAAACUUCCUGGCAUGGAUUUAUGCCCCACACCCAGGUGUUUGGAACCCCCAGGUGCUCAUGUGUUCAAAUAAUAGACACCACAGAGAACAAGAAAACAGUCACCUACCGGAGUGGAGUCAACAGGUAGAAUACUGAAAGAAUGAUGGCUAUACUGACAGACAUAAAUAGCAAAAAUAUUAUGUUUUUAGUAAACGUUCCUCCCCCAUGUGAUUUGCUGUUAUUAAAUGAGAAUUGAAUUAUUUUAUCCUGUGAGGCUCAAUAAAGCUUUCCUAUAAUUUU